GACGAACGCUGGCGGCGUGCUUAACACAUGCAAGUCGAACGGAAAGGCCUCUUUCGGGGGUACUCGAGUGGCGAACGGGUGAGUAACACGUGAGUAACCUGCCCUUGACUUUGGGAUAACUUCAGGAAACUGGGGCUAAUACCGGAUAGGAGCUCCUGCUGCAUGGUGGGGGUUGGAAAGUUUCGGCGGUUGGGGAUGGACUCGCGGCUUAUCAGCUUGUUGGUGGGGUAGUGGCUUACCAAGGCUUUGACGGGUAGCCGGCCUGAGAGGGUGACCGGCCACAUUGGGACUGAGAUACGGCCCAGACUCCUACGGGAGGAAGCAGUGGGGAAUAUUGCACAAUGGGUGGAAGCCGGAUGCAGCAACGUCGUGUGCGGGAUGACGGCCUUGGGGUUGUAAACCGCUUUCGCUCAUGACGAAGCUUUGUGUGACGGUAGUGGGUAAAGAAGCACCGGCUAACUACGUG
rnacentral:rRNA from 1 species